rnacentral:rRNA from 1 species
GUAAGGAAUAUUGGACAAUGGACGCAAGUCUGAUCCAGCCAUGCCGCGUGAAGGAUUAAGGUCCUCUGGAUUGUAAACUUCUUUUAUAAGGGACGAAAAAAGGCUUUUCUAAGUCGUCUGACGGUACCUUAUGAAUAAGCACCGGCUAACUCCGUGCCAGCAGCCGCGGUAAUACGGAGGGUGCAAGCGUUAUCCGGAUUCACUGGGUUUAAAGGGUGCGUAGGCGGGCAGGUAAGUCAGUUGAGAAAUCCUAGAGCUUAACUCUAGAACUGCCAUUGAUACUAUCUGUCUUGAAUUUUGUGGAGGUAAGCGGAAUAUGUCAUGUAGCGGUGAAAUGCUUAGAUAUGACAUAGAACACCUAUUGCGAAGGCAGCUUACUACGCAUAUAUUGACGCUGAGGCACGAAAGCGUGGGGAUCAAACAGGAUUAGAAACCCGUGUAGUCC